rnacentral:tRNA from 1 species
GCGGCCGUAGUCUAGCCUGGUCUAGGAUGGCGGCCUUCCGAGCAAUAAACGUGGAAAGCCGCAGAACCCGGGUUCGAAUCCCGGCGGCCGCA